CCUACGGGGGGCAGCAGUGAGGAAUAUUGGUCAAUGGGCUUACGCCUGAACCAGCCAAGUCGCGUGAGGGAAGACUGCCCUAUGGGUUGUAAACCUCUUUUGUCAGGGAGCAACGCCGGCUACGUGUAGCCGGACUGAGAGUACCUGUAGAAAAAGCAUCGGCAAACUCCGUGCCAGCAGCCGCGGUAAUACGGAGGAUGUGAGCGUUAUCCGGAUUUAUUGGGGUUAAAGGGUGCGUAGGCGGAAUGCCAAGUCAGCGGUAAAAUCGCGGGGCGAAACCUCGCUCCGCCGUUGAAACUGGGGUUCUUGAGUGCGCGAGAAGUAUGCGGAAUGCGUGGUGUAGCGGUGAAAUGCGUAGAUAUCACGCAGAACACCGAUUGCGAAGGCAGCAUACCGGAGCCCAACUGACGUUGAGGCACGAAAGCGUGGGUAUCGAACAGGAUUAGAUACCCCAGUAGUC
rnacentral:rRNA from 1 species